rnacentral:rRNA from 1 species
CCUAGGGUGGUAGAAGUGGGGAAGAAUGGGCAAGGGAGGGAACUCGUACCCAGCAAAGCCGCGUGAAUGAAGAAGGUCUUCGGAUUGUAAAGUUCUUUAAUUGGGGACGAAAAAAAUGACGGUACCCAAGGAAUAAGCCCCGGCUAACUACGUGCCAGCAGCCGCGGUAAUACGUAGGGGGCAAGCGUUGUUCGGAAUGACUGGGCGUAAAGGGUGUGUAGGCGGUGUAGAAAGUUAGAAGUGAAAUACCUAGAGCUUAACUCAGGUGCUGCUUCUAAAACUGCUAUACUUGAGUGCAGUAGAGGAAAGUGGAAUUCCUAGUGUAGCGGUGGAAUGCGUAGAUAUUAGGAGGAACAUCAGUGGCGAAGGCGACUUUCUGGACUGUAACUGACGCUGAGGCACGAAAGUGUGGGGAGCAAACAGGAUUAGAUACCCUUGUAGUC